ACAUUCUACGUUGGCAGCGAGCUUAUGGAGGUGAAAGAAGCCAAACAGCAGAAUCAGCCAAACAGAAACAGAGGUGGAGGACGUCAUCACUCUUGGGUCUGUUGGAGCUCAGGUAAGCAGCUGGCGUUGACCGAUCAAAAUCCGAAGCAUCUCUGCGUUGACCGGAUGCCAGAAAAUUCGGUGGCUCUUUGAUUAAAUUGCAGAUUGCGUUUGGAAAAGCAUGCCGCCGCUUCUGAGAGAGAGAGGUUGAAAUCUCAGCUUGCUAGUUUGGGAGGAAGACGGAGGAGCUGCGGACGGAGGACUCUCAAUCAGUCAAAGUCGCAGCCCACCACGUCAGAAGUUUCGUUUCUUCUUUUGUUUAUAUUUAUUUUUGACUUCUU